UACGUAGGGGGGCAAGCGUUGUCCGGAUUUAUUGGGCGUAAAGAGCGUGUAGGCGGCCAGGUAGGUCUGCUGUGAAAACUCGAGGCUUAACCUCGAGCUGUCGGCGGAAACCAUCUGGCUAGAGUCCGGAAGAGGAGAAUGGAAUUCCCGGUGUAGCGGUGAAAUGCGCAGAUAUCGGGAAGAACACCCGUGGCGAAGGCGGUUCUCCUGGGACGGUGACUGACGCUGAGACGCGAAAGCGUGGGGAGCGAACAGG
rnacentral:rRNA from 1 species